rnacentral:rRNA from 1 species
GCCCUUCGGGGUGGAUUAGUGGCGAACGGGUGAGUAACACGUGGGCAAUCUGCCCUUCACUCUGGGACAAGCCCUGGAAACGGGGUCUAAUACCGGAUAAUACUUUCCUCCUCCUGGAGGAAGGUUGAAAGCUCCGGCGGUGAAGGAUGAGCCCGCGGCCUAUCAGCUAGUUGGUGGGGUAAUGGCCUACCAAGGCGACGACGGGUAGCCGGCCUGAGAGGGCGACCGGCCACACUGGGACUGAGACACGGCCCAGACUCCUACGGGAGGCAGCAGUGGGGAAUAUUGCACAAUGGGCGAAAGCCUGAUGCAGCGACGCCGCGUGAGGGAUGACGGCCUUCGGGUUGUAAACCUCUUUCAGCAGGGAAGAAGCGAAAGUGACGGUACCUGCAGAAGAAGCGCCGGCUAACUACGUGCCAGCAGCCGCGGUAAUACGUAGGGCGCAAGCGUUGUCCGGAAUUAUUGGGCGUAAAGAGCUCGUAGGCGGCUUGUCACGUCGGUUGUGAAAGCCCGGGGCUUAACCCCGGGUCUGCAGUCGAUACGGGCAGGCUAGAGUGUGGUAGGGGAGAUCGGAAUUCCUGGUGUAGCGGUGAAAUGCGCAGAUAUCAGGAGGAACACCGGUGGCGAAGGCGGAUCUCUGGGCCAUUACUGACGCUGAGG